AGUGAACGCUGGCGGUAGGCCUAACACAUGCAAGUCGAACGGCGGCACAGGAGAGCUUGCUCUCUGGGUGGCGAGUGGCGGACGGGUGAGGAAUACAUCGGAAUCUACUUUUUCGUGGGGGAUAACGUAGGGAAACUUACGCUAAUACCGCAUACGACCUACGGGUGAAAGCAGGGGAUCUUCGGACCUUGCGCGAUUGAAUGAGUCGAUGUCGGAUUAGCUAGUUGGCGGGGUAAAGGCCCACCAAGGCGACGAUCUGUAGCUGGGCUGAGAGGAUGAUCAGCCACACUGGAACUGAGACACGGUCCAGACUCCUACGGGAGGCAGCAGUGGGGAAUAUUGGACAAUGGGCGCAAGCCUGAUCCAGCCAUACCGCGUGGGUGAAGAAGGCCUUCGGGUUGUAAAGCCCUUUUGUUGGGAAAGAAAUCCAGCUGGCUAAUACCCGGUUGGGAUGACGGUACCCAAAGAAUAAGCACCGGCUAACUUCGUGCCAGCAGCCGCGGUAAAAC
rnacentral:rRNA from 1 species